rnacentral:rRNA from 1 species
UACGUAGGGCGCAAGCGUUAUCCGGAAUUAUUGGGCGUAAAGAGCCUCGUAGGCGGUUUGUCGCGUCUGCCGUGAAAGUCCGGGGCUCAACUCCGGAUCUGCGGUGGGUACGGGCAGACUAGAGUGAUGUAGGGGAGACUGGAAUUCCUGGUGUAGCGGUGAAAUGCGCAGAUAUCAGGAGGAACACCGAUGGCGAAGGCAGGUCUCUGGGCCACUACUGACGCUGAGAAGCGAAAGCAUGGGGAGCGAACAGG